rnacentral:ncRNA from 1 species
AAUGAAACGAUGACAGGGAAAGUACAUUUCUACCUCUUUAUUCAGCGAUCUGGGAUUGGUGCAAGCCUAGAAAAAGUAGAAAUUGAAAAUCACCCAAGAGUUCUUUUGUUGAAAAUCUUUGAUGAGUAAACAGAAGCGGUCCUCCACGAUACGGAAAAGAGUGAGCAAUUUAUCGAAAUUGCUAAAACGGGUGGUACCGCGGGAAAUAGCCUUCUCGUCCCUUAC